AACUAUAGUAGAAUAUUUAAAUAUUUUAAUUUCUCAUUGUUUUAUUUGUUAAUUGGAUUGUAAUUUGCCAUCAGAUUCUCUGUAUUAUAGAAGCUAUCUUGCUUCUUCAAUAAGAGGAGGAAAAAGAAUCUCACAAUUCCCAAUAUAAUCUUUAACAACUGUACGUUAAUUGUACCAUUUUACCUUCUAAACAUUAUUUACUGGAGCUCAGUUAGUCUUUAAAACAAUUACUCAGGCAGAGUGUGGCAAAAGUUCAGCAAGAUCAAGAAAAGUAUUUAAGUUAUUGACUGAUCAUAGCACUGUUAUUUGUCAUUGCAUGUGUUUUUCCCCCUCAUGUUUCUAUGUGUGCUAUUGAUACCCAAGGAACUCAAAAAUACUUAAAAUAUUGGUAUACUUGAUGAUUUUUCUGAAAAUCUUAUAUUUUUCAUAUUACAAAUUCUUGAGUUCUUUAUCUUUUUCAAGUCUAAUUUUGUAGUGGUAAAGGCUUUGCACUUAACAUCCUUUUGUGUUCCUUUUUAACAAGGAAAAACAGAAAAUAAUGGAAUUCCAUAUUUUUUACACCAUGGAGUAGUAAAAUUAUUUUAUAUAUUGUUAGUACUUCAACAAACAUCCCUCUGCUAAGUCAGACAAAAUCCUUAUACAGUAAUUUGUGAAACUGUUCAGUAGAGUAUUCUUUUCUUCAAAUCUUGGCAUAGGUUUUAGAUUAUAGCAUUCUGUAUGAAUGCAGGUAGAUGGGUGCCGCCAGAGUAUUGCAGGCAAUAAUACGACUAAAAUUCUAAUACUUUUAGUGUGCAUGCGUGUAUUUCUAAUCACUGUUAUUUUUUAAGUAUUUGUAAAAUUAGAAAAAUUGCUUUUAUUUCUUGAAAAGUUGUCACAUGCUUAGUUUGAAGUUUUACUCUCCAGAUGUUUUUGAGUUGCAUAAAAAUCUUGCAUUCAUCAUUCAAAAAAUACUAAAUUUCACAUGAGACUCAAAAAUUUCUGAAUGAUGGAACUCAGACUUCCAAUACAUUCAUACAUGCUAGAGCUGAAAGUAAGCAGGGAAUUUCAGCUCUAAACACAUUUUUGAGACAGUUAUCUGUGAGUGAAAACAGGGUAUUAUAACAAAAGAUGAGUUUCAAUCUUAACUACAGUGUUUGUUACUGUGAAUGCUAUAAUAAUACAUAAGUAAAAUGAGUGUAAAUGUAAUAAAUUAUUUUAUACUGCUGUAUACAUAUGAAAUAAAUAAAACUAGGAUACA
rnacentral:lncRNA from 1 species